rnacentral:rRNA from 1 species
AUUGAACGCUAGCGGGAUGCCUUACACAUGCAAGUCGAACGGAGUGGCGAACGGGUUGGUAAUGUAUCGGAACGUGCCCAGUAGCGGGGGAUAACUACGCGAAAGCGUAGCUCAUACCGCAUACUAUUUGAGCGGCCGAUAUCGGCUUAGCUAGUUGGUGGGGUAACGGCUCACCAAGGCGACGCUCCGUAGCUGGUUUGAGAGGACGACCAGCCACAUUGGGACCUAGACACGGCCCAGACUCAUACGGGAGGCAGCAGUGGGGAAUGUGGGACAAUGGGGGAAACCCUGAUCCAGCCAUCCCGCGUGUGCGAUGAAGGCAUUCGGGUUGUAAAGCAAUUUUGGCAGGAAAGCGGUACCUGCAGAAUAAGAACCGGCUAACUACGUGCCAGCCGCCGCGGUAAUAC